CCUACGGGCGGCAGCAGUGGGGGAUAUUGCACAAUGGGGGAAACCCUGAUGCAGCAACGCCGCGUGAGUGAAGAAGGUCUUCGGAUUGUAAAGCUCUGUUCUUGGUGAAGAUAAUGACGGUAGCCAAGGAGAAAAAGCAUCGGCUAACUCCGUGCCAGCAGCCGCGGUAAUACGGAGGAUGCGAGCGUUACUCGGAAUCACUGGGCGUAAAGAGCGCGUAGGCGGGAUAGCAAGUCAGAUGUGAAAUCCUAUGGCUUAACCAUAGAACUGCAUUUGAAACUGUUAUUCUAGAGUAUGGGAGAGGUAGGUGGAAUUCUUGGUGUAGGGGUAAAAUCCGUAGAGAUCAAGAGGAAUACUCAUUGCGAAGGCGACCUGCUAGAACAUAACUGACGCUGAUGCGCGAAAGCGUGGGGAGCAAACAGGAUUAGAUACCCCGGUAGUC
rnacentral:rRNA from 1 species